rnacentral:rRNA from 1 species
CAAGUCGAACGAGAUAAGUUGUAGCAAUACGGCUUUGAAAGUGGCGCACGGGUGCGUAACACGUAUGCAACCUACCUUUUACUGGGGAAUAGCCUCUCGAAAGAGAGAUUAAUACCCCAUGACAUGUUUUGAAGGCAUCUUCAGAACCUUAAAGCUCCGGCGGUAAAAGAUGGGCAUGCGGUUGAUUAGCUAGUUGGUGAGGUAAUGGCUCACCAAGGCUUCGAUCAAUAGGGGGUCUGAGAGGAUGUCCCCCCACACUGGUACUGAGACACGGACCAGACUCCUACGGGAGGCAGCAGUAGGGAAUAUUGGACAAUGGGCGCAAGCCUGAUCCAGCCAUGCCGCGUGCAGGAUGAAGGCCCUAUGGGUCGUAAACUGCUUUUGUACGGGAAGAAACCUCACUACGUGUAGUGAGUUGACGGUACCGUGAGAAUAAGGAUCGGCUAACUUCGUGCCAGCAGCCGCGGUAAUACGAAGGAUCCAAGCGUUGUCCGGAUUUACUGGGUUUAAAGGGUGCGUAGGCGGACUUUUAAGUCAGUGGUGAAAGCUUGCAGCUUAACUGUAAAAUUGCCAUUGAAACUGAAAGUCUCGAGUGUGGUUGAGGUAACUGGAAUAUAUCAUGUAGCGGUGAAAUGCUUAGAUAUGAUAUAGAACACCAAUUGCGAAGGCAGGUUACUGAGCCACAACUGACGCUGAGGCACGAAAGCGUGGGGAUCAAACAGGAUUAGAUACCCUGGUAGUCCACGCCGUAAACGUUGAAUACUCGAUCUUAGCGAUACACAGUUUAGGAUCCAGCGAAGCGUUAAGUAUUCCCCUGGGAAGUACGUUCC